ACGUAGGGUGCAAGCGUUAAUCGGAAUUACUGGGCGUAAAGCGAGCGCAGGCGGUUAUUUAAGUCAGGUGUGAAAGCCCCGAGCUCAACUUGGGACGUGCAUUUGAAACUGGAUAACUAGAGUGUGUCAGAGGGGGGUAGAAUUCCACGUGUAGCAGUGAAAUGCGUAGAGAUGUGGAGGAAUACCGAUGGCGAAGGCAGCCCCCUGGGAUAACACUGACGCUCAUGCUCGAAAGCGUGGGUAGCAAACAG
rnacentral:rRNA from 1 species